UACGAGAGGCCCAAACGUUAUUCGGAAUUACUGGGCUUAAAGAGUUCGUAGGCGGCGCAGAAAGUAGGGUGUGAAAGCCCCCGGCUUAACCGAGGAAUUGCGCUCUAAACUACUGUGCUUGAGGAACCUAGAGGUGAGCAGAACAGAUGGUGGAGCGGUGAAAUGCGUUGAUAUCAUCUGGAAUACCGGAGGCGAAGGCGGCUCACUGGGGGUUUUCUGACGCUGAGGCGCGAAAGCUAGGGGAGCGAACGGG
rnacentral:rRNA from 1 species